AUGUCUUCUGCAUGUACCAUAGAAGCAACACAGCUCUAAACAGGGAUCUGGGUGGAAGGAGGAGUGUAUGUGUAUUCAUUUACGUAACAGGCAGGUGAAACACAUCUCUGGAAUCUAAUGCUGACUGUAUAAACCCUUCCCUUUCGUAGUCCUAUUUCCGACGUCCCACUUCGUAUAAUCUGGACUCUAUUUUCAGUCUUUUUGUCUGCUCUGCUGUUCAUUUUGAACAGAAGAGCAAUGGGAGAACUGAGAUUUCCAGAGGAGGGCUUUACCAUGCCAUGCAUCUUUCUGGGAACAUCCUCCUUGGACACUCAGCAUGUCCUGGUCAAUUGCAGAGCGGUCCUUCAGGCAACCACGGUACACAGUGCUGAGCUGUGAGGGCUGGGAAUGCCUUUUUUUGAAAGACCAAAAUUCCUUCCAUAGGACACUGAGAAGCCUAAAGAAGAUGGCAUCCAGCAAGCCAUGGACUGCACAUGGAGGAAGACUUCUUUGGCGUGUGUGAAAAGGCUGUUUCACGGCCAAGGAGCUAUAGAGAUUUCCAGUGAUGCACAGCACAGUCCCUCCUGGAGGUAGACAAGCAAACCCUGCCUUCCGGAACUAGAGGUUUCUCUCUUUGGGACACCAGCAUCUCGUAUGUCAGCCUAGGAGAUGCAAAGACUAUAAGCUCACAGCAUGGGAGAAUGAGUAUCAUCUCAAAGUGAAUUCUGUGGAUUGACUGUAAAGCAGGGCCUUGACAUAAGAGGAACCCUGCAGAAGAAGUGGACACUGGAAGCUCAAGGGGAAGAGCCAGGAGAGCCGAGAGUGGCGUUCCCACCCAUGACCGCCGCGGAGCACAGCCUGACGCAGGGAUGGGAGACCCAAAGGGAUGCUGCGGUGCUGCAAAAAACAAGGAACAGUGGGCCUUGCGGAGCGCUAAUUACGGAUGAAACCAGUCUAAGCCUUUAAAAGAAAAGAAGGACGUACAGGAGGAAAUCCACAGCAUUUGACUGGACCUGCAGUUCCAAUUCAGGACCAUUCCUUGGAAAUUCAGACUGAGGCCACAGAACAGCAGAGCCCAGCUGAUGCCAUCAACACAACUAGGAAUCUCUUAGCACUCACCUGCAAGCAAAUCUCCAUGUAAGUGAUGAGACUGGAGCCAAUACACGAACAAGAAGGAUCUGGGGACUCCCAAGCUCCCUUCCAAAGCCAGCAGAGUUGUAUGAGCUGCUACCUUAGCAUCUCCUUGGAGCUGGGCCAGCACAUCAAGGGUGAAGAGGAGUUGAAUCCUGCCUUUAGCUCUGGCCCUGGUUUUCCACGUGGGGUUCCUCUUCCAAUGAAUGCAGCCACACACCACUCCAGAUGUUCAAAGAGGGACCAGCCUCCCACAGACCCUAUGGGAAUGAUGAACAAAAGGACAGUGAGCAACGACGUGUCUUCAAAUCUUCAGUUCACAAGCCACCAUGGGCUGUUUGCCCUGUACGUUAUAGGAAGCAAAGCAUAAUCUCAGCUGGGUCACAGGUGAACAAGUAGGUGCUGUUGCCCUCAGGCAGCUUGACGGGAUACCAUCACCUACUGGACACAGCGUGUUAAAGAUGAACCUCCUUUAAAAUAGCUAAUGACCUUCAGCCUGCUAACUCCAUGUGUGCCCAGCUGCUUGUUAGAGGUCAAGAAAUGCCUGGUUAAAAGCUCCUGCCCCAACUCCCACCCAGCAUGGCCAAGUCUCCUGAGACUUGCUUGGCAGCCCAACCACAUAUGGAGCUGAAUCACAGUACACAUUCCUCCACUGGGGUCCUCUCAAUGUUAGGAGACGACAUGGCCUGCCCCAAUGGACAUAGGAAUAGUUUUUCCAGGAAACAUAUUGACAUAUAGGAAGAAAGUUCUCUGCAUCAGCCAAUGCAGAGCCCUCAAACAGGGGUAGGAUGCAUCCAAACUUGUAUUAUUAUUAUUUAAUAAACAAGUUAUUGUGCCUUUUUCUUGAAUCCACAAUAGGAAAAGGGUAGAUGUGGCACCGAGGGA
ensembl:lncRNA